GAUGAACGCUGGCGGCGUGCCUAAUACAUGCAAGUCGAGCGAACGGACGAGAAGCUUGCUUCUCUGAUGUUAGCGGCGGACGGGUGAGUCACACGUGGAUAACCUACCUAUAAGACUGGUAUAACUUCGGGAAACCGGAGCUAAUACCGUAUAAUAUUUUGAACCGCAUGGUUCAAAAGUGAAAGACGGUCUUGGUGUCACUUAUAGCGGGAUCCCCGCUGCAUUAGCUAGUUGGUAAGGAAACGGCUUACCAAGGCAACGAUGCAUAGCCGAACUGAGAGGGUGAUCGGCCACACUGGAACUGAGACACGGUCCAGACUCCUAAGGGAGGCAGCAGUAGGGAAUCGUCCGCAAUGGGCGAAAGCCUGACGGAGCAACGCCGAGUGAGAGAUGAAGGUCUUCGGAUCGUAAAACUCUGUUAUGAGGGAAGAACAUAUGUGGAAGUAACUGUGCACAUCGUGACGGUACCUAAUCAGAAAGCCACGGCUAACUACGUG
rnacentral:rRNA from 1 species